UACGUAGGGGGCAAGCGUUGUCCGGAAUCAUUGGGCGUAAAGAGCGUGUAGGCGGCUCGGUAAGUCCGCUGUGAAAGUCCAGGGCUCAACCCUGGAAUGCCGGUGGAUACUGUCGAGCUCGAGUCCGGAAGAGGCGAGUGGAAUUCCUGGUGUAGCGGUGAAAUGCGCAGAUAUCAGGAGGAACACCCGUGGCGAAAGCGGCUCUCUGGGACGGUACUGACGCUGAGACGCGAAAGCGUGGGGAGCAAACAGG
rnacentral:rRNA from 1 species